GGUUUCCGUAGGUGAUCCUGCGGAAGGAUCAUUACAGAAAGUAAACGCGGGUCAAACCGCGAACUUUUAAACCUUUGACGAUUGACUCAUGUUGCCUCGGCGGGUUCGCCCGCCAGAGGAUACAUCAAAACUCCUGUUUUAACGGUGUUGUCUGAGCUACAAGCAACGAAUCAAAACUUUCAACAACGGAUCUCUUGGUUCUGGCAUCGAUGAAGAACGCAGCGAAAUGCGAUAAGUAGUGUGAAUUGCAGAAUUCAGUGAAUCAUCGAAUCUUUGAACGCACAUUGCGCCCCUUGGUAUCCCGAGGGGCAUGCCUGUUCGAGCGUCAUUUCACCACUCAAGCCUGGCUUGGUGUUGGGCGACGUCCCCUUUGGGGAUGCGCCUCGAAACGCUCGGCGGCGUGGCACCGGCUUUAAGCGUAGCAGAAUCUUUCGCUUUGAAAGUCGGGGCCCCGUCUGCCGGAAGACCUACUCGCAAGGUUGACCUCGGAUCAGGCAGGGAUACCCGCUGAACUUAAG
rnacentral:rRNA from 1 species